GUGAGGAAUAUUGGUCAAUGGACGAGAGUCUGAACCAGCCAAGUCGCGUGAAGGAAGACGGUUCUAUGAAUUGUAAACUUCUUUUGUGCAGGAAUAAAGUGGGUUACGUGUAACCUUUUGUAUGUACUGUACGAAUAAGGAUCCGCUAACUCCGUGCCAGCAGCCGCGGUAAUACGGAGGAUCCGAGCGUUAUCCGGAUUUAUUGGGUUUAAAGGGUGCGUAGGUGGAUUGAUAAGUCAGCGGUGAAAGUUUGCAGCUUAACUGUAAAAUUGCCGUUGAAACUGUCGGUCUUGAGUGCAAAUGAGGUAGGCGGAAUGUGUUGUGUAGCGGUGAAAUGCUUAGAUAUAACACAGAACUCCGAUUGCGAAGGCAGCUUACUGGGGUGCAACUGACACAGAUGCACGAAAGCGUGGGUAUCAAACAGGAUUAGAUACCCUAGUAGUCC
rnacentral:rRNA from 1 species